rnacentral:rRNA from 1 species
UUUGCACCCCCUACGGGGAGCGCCCACGACAGUAAAUAAUGGGCUGCGCUUGCAAGUCUAGGGAGGUCCUCCCGGGCGACACAACUAAAUUAUCGGGAAUGUCCAGGCUCUCUGGAUAAUCCGUAGCACUUUCUCGCAGUGUUCACAGGUCAAAUGGUUGUGGGUUCAGCUUGCUGGGCUUAAGAUAUGAUCGGGCUUUACGAGAGAUUGUAGAGAUCACACCGUUCCGUAGGUCAAGUUUUGCCUGCCACAGUGGCCUCUCCAGGCUGCUAGUCUCCCCCCGGAGGCGACACGCUCAAAGUGCGGGAAGUCCCUAGCCGGGAAAUCCGCAGCCAACGCGCUCCUUACCCGGAGAUUUGGUUCAGAGACUCAAUGAGUGUGGAUUUGGCGGUAGCCAGAUUUUAGAUAGAGCCCACCCCUGCUGGCAACUCCAGGGAAUCAGUGGAACCUGCGGAAGGAUCAUUA